CUACGUGCCAGCAGCCGCGGUAAUACGUAGGGUGCGAGCGUUAAUCGGAAUUACUGGGCGUAAAGCGAGCGCAGACGGUUACUUAAGCAGGAUGUGAAAUCCCCGGGCUCAACCUGGGAACUGCGUUCUGAACUGGGUGACUAGAGUGUGUCAGAGGGAGGUAGAAUUCCACGUGUAGCAGUGAAAUGCGUAGAGAUGUGGAGGAAUACCGAUGGCGAAGGCAGCCUCCUGGGAUAACACUGACGUUCAUGCUCGAAAGCGUGGGUAGCAAACAGGAUUAGAUACCCUGGUAGUCCACGCCCUAAACGAUGUCAAUUAGCUGUUGGGCAACUUGAUUGCUUAGUAGCGAAGCUAACGCGUGAAAUCGACCGCCUGGGGAGUACGGUCGCAAGAUUAAAACUCAAAGGAAUUGACGGGGACCCGCACAAGCGGUGGAUGAUGUGGAUUAAUUCGAUGCAACGCGAAGAACCUUACCKGUCUUGACAU
rnacentral:rRNA from 1 species